rnacentral:rRNA from 1 species
UACGUAGGGGGCAAGCGUUGUCCGGAUUUAUUGGGCGUAAAGAGCGUGUAGGCGGCCAUUCAGGUCAGCUGUGAAAACUCGAGGCUCAACCUCGAGACGUCGGUUGAAACCGUUUGGCUAGAGUCCGGAAGAGGAGAGUGGAAUUCCCGGUGUAGCGGUGAAAUGCGCAGAUAUCGGGAAGAACACCCGUGGCGAAGGCGGCUCUCUGGGACGGUACUGGCACUGAGGAGCGAAAGCGUGGGUAGCAAACAGG